rnacentral:lncRNA from 1 species
GAGUGUUAAAGAUGGCACAACUAGUCUUAUGUCUCUCAACGUCAUCGGGUGUGCUAAAGGACUCGUUCAAUAUUUACAACAUGUCUUGUGGUUGAGCAUUCUCGAAACGAUGGGUGAACUCAUCAUUCAAUACUGCCAGCAUAAUACAACGAACUGUAGUUCGAUCAUUGAGCCACUUCUGAUAAGUGUCUCUGACUGUACUGUGGGCAUUCAAAGCUAGCUCCUCGAGUGCUAGAUCUGUCAACACAUACAACAUCCAUUCAUGCUCCAGGAUUAUUUUGAGCUUUCGAUACCAACUAUCGAAAUUUGAUCCCAUCAAUUUAUCACUAUCUA